GACGAACGCUGGCGGCGUGCUUAACACAUGCAAGUCGAGCGGUAAGGCCCGUUUCGGGGGUACACGAGCGGCGAACGGGUGAGUAACACGUGGGUGACCUGCCCUUAGCUCUGGGAUAAGCCUGGGAAACUGGGUCUAAUACCGGAUAUGACUCCAUGACGCAUGUUGUGGGGUGGAAAGCCUUGUGCGGCUAGGGAUGGGCCCGCGGCCUAUCAGCUUGUUGGUGGGGUGAUGGCCACCAAGGCGACGACGGGUAGCCGGCCUGAGAGGGCGACCGGCCACACUGGGACUGAGACACGGCCCAGACUCCUACGGGAGGCAGCAGUGGGGAAUCUUGCGCAAUGGGCGAAAGCCUGACGCAGCGACGCCGCGUGGGGAUGACGGCCU
rnacentral:rRNA from 1 species